rnacentral:rRNA from 1 species
AUUGAACGCUGGCGGCAUGCUUUACACAUGCAAGUCGAGCGGCAGCGCGGGGGCAACCCUGGCGGCGAGCGGCGAACGGGUGAGUAAUGCAUCGGAACGUACCCUGGAGUGGGGGAUAACGCCGCGAAAGCGGCGCUAAUACCGCAUAUGCUCUGAGGAGGAAAGUGGGGGACCGCAAGGCCUCACGCUCUGGGAGCGGCCGAUGUCCGAUUAGCUAGUUGGUGGGGUAAAGCUUACCAAGGCGACGAUCGGUAGCUGGUCUGAGAGGAUGAUCAGCCACACUGGGACUGAGACACGGCCCAGACUCCUACGGGAGGCAGCAGUGGGGAAUUUUGGACAAUGGGGGCAACCCUGAUCCAGCCAUGCCGCGUGAGUGAAGAAGGCCUCGGUGUAAGACUCUUUGGUCGGGUAAGAAAGACGGACCUUGCCUAAUACGCGAGGUGAUUGACGGUACGGCGAGAAUAAGACA